rnacentral:rRNA from 1 species
GACGAACGCUGGCGGCGUGCUUAACACAUGCAAGUCGAACGGAAAGGCCCUGCUUUUGUGGGGUGCUCGAGUGGCGAACGGGUGAGUAACACGUGAGUAACCUGCCCUUGACUUUGGGAUAACUUCAGGAAACUGGGGCUAAUACCGGAUAGGAGCUCCUGCUGCAUGGGGGGGGUCGGAAAGUUUCGGCGGUUGGGGAUGGACUCGCGGCUUAUCAGCUUGUUGGUGGGGUAGUGGCUUACCAAGGCCUUGACGGGUAGCCGGCCUGAGAGGGUGACCGGCCACAUUGGGACUGAGAUACGGCCCAGACUGCUACGGGAGGCAGAAGUGGGGAAUAUUGCACAAUGGGCGGAAGCCUGAUGCAGCAACGCCGCGUGCGGGAUGACGGCCUUCGUGUUGUAAACCGCUUUCGCCUGUGACGAAGCGUGAGUGACGGUAAUGGGUAAAGAAGCACCGGCUAACUACGUG